AUUGAACGCUGGCGGAAUGCUUUACACAUGCAAGUCGAACGGCAGCACGGGGCAACCUGGUGGCGAGUGGCGAACGGGUGAGUAAUACAUCGGAACGUGCCCAGUCGUGGGGGAUAACGUAGCGAAAGUUACGCUACUACCGCAUACGAUCUAAGGAUGAAAGCGGGGGCUCGCAAGACCUCGCGCGAUUAGAGCGGCCGAUGUCAGAUAAGGUAGUUGGUGGGGUAAAGGCCCACCAAGCCGACGAUCAGUAGCUGGUCGGAGAGGACGACCGUCCAAACUGGGACUGAGACACGGCCCAGACUCCUACGCGAGGCAGCAGUGGGGAAUUUUGGACAAUGGGCGCAAGCCUGAUCCAGCCGUUCCGCGUGCAGGAUGAAGGCCUUCGGGUUGUAAACUGCUUUUGUACGGAGCGAAAAGGCUCUCUCUAAUACAGGGGGCUCAUGACGGUACCGUAAGAAUAAGCACCGGCUAACUACGUGCCAGCCGCCGCAGUAACAC
rnacentral:rRNA from 1 species